rnacentral:rRNA from 1 species
AUGGUAGAAGAUCAACGCCCCAACGCCAGGGACUUGCAUGUGAUUCCCCAAGAAGCACAAGGGGCCAGAACUAGUCCGUGUGCUAAUCCUGCACCUUCCGCUGCUAGUUGGCUCCCUCCACUAGAGAGCGAUGCAAAACUGAAUGUGGAUGGCGGCAUAUCUAGAAGGGGAGAUCGAGGGGCUGCAGCUGUCAUAUGCCGAGACAAGAUUGGCCAGUACUUGGGGGCUUCUGCGAUGGUUUUCGACGGUCUCGUUGACCCAGCGACUCUUGAAGCCCGAGCGUGCAGUGAAGCACUGACGCUAGCAUCAGACCUAAACCUCCGGUCUAUCUGUGUGGCGUCUGAUUGUGCGGAGGUGGUCGCCAAUCUGGAGACUGGAGGUCCGUUCCGCUACGCUAUGAUUCUUGAGGAGUUUAGAGCACAAAGAGUUUCUUUUGACUUUAUUCGAGUAGUUCAUGAGAGGAGGAUCCAUAAUGCUGAGGCUCAUUCGUUGGCCAAAGCGGCCUCCUCUCUCCAUCCUGGGCGCCACGUGUGGCUAGAUGUUUUGCCCAAUAUCAUUUGUAUUCCGUCAAAACUUGAUGCUUAA